AAAUGAAUCUCCAUUUUUAAAGUACAGUCAUUAAGAGCUACCCUUCUUUCUAGUUUUUCUACUUGGUUAAAAAAAAAAAAAAAUUACAACUCUUCCCCCACCAAGAAAACACUAUUCACACUCCUUUUUCCCACCUGAUACACGUUCUAAGUAACAUGCACAAUUAUAUCUAGUUCCAUAGCAUGCAUUUUCUACUCAGACAUAUGGACAUAUGUUUUUUAACAUUUUUUUGUUUUUACUUUUUGGCUGCACUGUGUGGCAUUCGGGAUCUUAGUUCCUCAACCACGGAUUGAACCCGAGCCCCUGUAGUGAAGCAUAGUCUUAACCGCUGGAUCACCAGGGAAGUCCCCUACUUAGAAGUAACCUUAUAUGCAAUGUAGAUACGAUUCAAGUACUAUGCUAAUUCUGUUUACAAGAUAGCUCUUCUGUGGCUCUAGCCUGCUUAAAAUCAUUCUACUCCAUCCUUUAAUACAUUUAAAUACAGGUUGCAUGCACAGACACAGAGAUAACAUCCACACUGUAAGAAAAGAAUAAAUCUUAAUAUAAAUAAUAGUAAUACUUUACAGUGGUUUAUGAUACAAGUUCCACAUAAGAUCCACUUGUGAGGCCUUUUGGAAGGGGCCACCUGUAGAGUUUCAAGUUUCAAAGGCCAGAAAGGGGCCUGAGAAUUUCCAUGAUUAAAAAGCCUCACUGAGAAUUCUAAAGUCCAGCCACGGUUAAAACCCACAGGUAUUACUAGUCCUUUAAACUUUACAAAGUGCUAUUAUGCCAAUGAUGUGAUCCUCAGGGGCCCCCUGUGAGGUAAUACUAUCCUCAAUAAGGGGAAUGCCGCAAGACCCCUAAGAAUUUACUUAGUUAAGGUAGCACUUGAACCCCCACAAUAUUCCCAUUUCCAAGGGCCACUCUCUUUCCAUUCUGAUGCAGGCUCCUCUUAAAACACUAGAUCUGGACAAUCCCACUAAGACUAACAAAAAGAGGAAUUACAAACUGAGAGGAAUUCACCUGUGACUAAGGAUUGCUUAGGCAGGGGAACAGAAACCUGAUGUUCCUAAAUAGCUUUCGUAAGCGAAGAGAAGCAAGGAUGAGUUCUCAUCCCAAGGUGGAAGCCCUGCUUCAAAAGCCAGAGCCCAGUAUCUGCAGACAAUCGGAGGGUGUCUUUGAAAUAUGGUCUUGAUCUCUGUAUUUGACAAACCCAAGUGAAUUACUGUUCAAAAGAGAGGAGAAAGACAAAUGACGCCAAUUAGUUCAUCAUUCAGGCAACAGAACAGCAAAAUCAACCCUGAGAAGCUAACACUUCUCUCAACACUAUGGUCACUGUCCUGGGGAAAUGUAUGUACUCAGCUGAGAAGUACACACAAGAGAAGGAUCUCCUCCCCCACAUACCUCUUUCUUCCCAUCACCAUCGAAGUCACACAAGGCCAAGGAAUGAACGUUAUCACCAGUAACCUAAAAAUAAAACCCAAGUCAUUACUAUGCCAUUUCUAUUCACUUAAUCCAAACACAGGAGCUACAUGAAAGACAGGAUGAAAUAAACCACGAAUUUAAAAUCCACAUUACUCAUUGCCUUUUUUUAAUGUAUAAAAUUACAAAUCCUGUUUUAUUUUGUUUCCAUCAUUCAUUACUGUCAGUGGUUAAAAAAAAUAAGCAAACAAGACCUAAAGAACAUUAAAAAAAAUGUUUAAGAGUACUAAAGAGAGUAUUUC